CGGCGGCCGUAACUAUAACGGUCCUAAGGUAGCGAAAUUCCUUGUCGGGUAAGUUCCGACCCGCACGAAAGGCGUAACGAUCUGGGCACUGUCUCAACGAGAGACUCGGUGAAAGUAUAGUACCUGUGAAGAUGCAGGUUACCCGCGACAGGACGGAAAGACCCCGUGGAGCUUUACUGUAGCCUGAUAUUGAAUUUUGGUACAACUUGUACAGGAUAGGUAGGAGCCAGAGAUCUCGGAGCGCCAGCUUCGAAGGAGGCGUCGGUGGGAUACUACCCUGGUUGUAUUGAAAUUCUAACCCAUGCCCCUUAGC
rnacentral:rRNA from 1 species